rnacentral:rRNA from 1 species
GUUCCAGACUCCUACGGGAGGCAGCAGUGAGGAAUAUUGGUCAAUGGCCGCAGGGCUGAACCAGCCAAGUCGCGUGAGGGAUGACGGUCCUAUGGAUUGUAAACCUCUUUUGUCAGGGAGCAAAGGGCGCCACGUGUGGCGUUUUGCGAGUACCUGAAGAAAAAGCAUCGGCUAACUCCGUGCCAGCAGCCGCGGUAAUACGGAGGAUGCGAGCGUUAUCCGGAUUUAUUGGGUUUAAAGGGAGCGUAGGUGGAUUGUUAAGUCAGUUGUGAAAGUUUGCGGCUCAACCGUAAAAUUGCAGUUGAAACUGGCAGUCUUGAGUACAGUAGAGGUGGGCGGAAUUCGUGGUGUAGCGGUGAAAUGCUUAGAUAUCACGAAGAACCCCGAUUGCGAAGGCAGCCUGCCGCAGCGUUACUGACGCUGAAGCUCGAAAGCGCGGGUAUCGAACAGGAUUAGAUACCCUAGUACG